GCGCCUGUGGUGUAGGGGUAUCAUGUUCGCUUGCCAUGCGAGCGACCCGGGUUCGAUUCCCGGCAGGCGCA
rnacentral:tRNA from 1 species